UUUCCGUAGGUGAACCUGCGGAAGGAUCAUUACCACACACGCACCAAGAAAGCCCCUGUUUGCGUACUGAUAAAUUCUUUUUUAUUGACAGUACUUGUUCAUGUAAAAGUCUUCAGGGACGUCAGUAAACACUAUAUUAAACACCCCUUUUUAACCAUGAAUUAUACACAGAAACAUUUAAGUUAUCUGUCUUUACCGACUAUAACGCUAGAUUACUAAUUGUAAAACAACUUUUAACAAUGGCAAUCUAGGAUCUUGCACCGAUGAAGAACGCAGCAA
rnacentral:misc_RNA from 1 species